rnacentral:rRNA from 1 species
GAUGAACGCUAGCGACAGGCUUAACACAUGCAAGUCGAGGGGCAGCGGGGGUAGCAAUACCCGCCGGCGACCGGCGCACGGGUGAGUAACGCGUAUGCAACUUACCUAUCAGAGGGGGAUAACCCGGCGAAAGUCGGACUAAUACCGCAUGAAGCAGGGGCCUCGCAUGGGGAUAUUUGCUAAAGAUUCAUCGCUGAUAGAUAGGCAUGCGUUCCAUUAGGCAGUUGGCGGGGUAACGGCCCACCAAACCGACGAUGGAUAGGGGUUCUGAGAGGAAGGUCCCACACAUUGGUAGUGAGACACGGACCAAACUCCUACGGGAGGCAGCAGUUAGGAAUAUUGGUCAAUGGGCGCGAGCCUGAACCAGCCAAGUCGCGUGAGGGAUGAAGGUUCUAUGGAUCGUAAACCUCUUUUAUAAGGGAAUAAAGUGCGGGACGUGUCCUGUUUUGUAUGUACCUUAUGAAUAAGGAUCGGCUAACUCCGUGCCAGCCGCCGCAGUAA